rnacentral:rRNA from 1 species
GACGAACGCUGGCGGCGUGCUUAACACAUGCAAGUCGAACGGAAAGGCCCUGCUUUUGUGGGGUGCUCGAGUGGCGAACGGGUGAGUAACACGUGAGUAACCUGCCCUUGACUUUGGGGUAACUUCAGGAAACUGGGGCUAAUACCGGAUAGGAGCUUCUGCUGCAUGGUGGUGGUUGGUAAGUUUCGGCGGUUGGGGAUGGACUCGCGGCUUAUCAGUUUGUUGGUGGGGUAGUGGCUUACCAAGGCUUUGACGGGUAGCCGGCCUGAGAGGGUGGCCGGCCACAUUGGGACUGAGAUACGGCCCAGAAUCCUACGGGAGGCAGCAGUGGGGAAUAUUGCAAAAUGGGCGGAAGCCUGAGGCAGCAACGCCGCGUGCGGGAUGACGGCCUUCGGGGUGUAAACCGCUUUCGCCGGUGACGAAGAGUGAGUGACGGUAAUGGGUAAAGAAGCAACGGCUAACUACGUG